GUUGGCUUUACUGCUCGCCAGGUCGAACUGGGAAAAUUGCUGACCAACUACAAAAUAUCAUGAUAAUCUUAACAUUGCUUCGAAAACUUCUUUCUGAACGUAAAUAAAAUAUUGUCAGGGAUAAUAGUGAACUACUGACUCGGCUGCGAGAGGUCAAGGAUCAGUUAUGAGUUACUUUUCUUUCUUAAAUGAGUUACUUUUAUUUGAAAAUGUUUCAAAUCCAAAGACUUUCAUUAAUUACAAGAAAAUCUUUUAGACGUAAUAAAAAAAGCUGGAAUAUUUUAUUGUCUCCCUCUGGCUGAGGUUAGUGUAAAAAUACGAGGGCUAACCCAUGACAUUAAGAAGAUUCUGACCCCUUCACAGGACGUCGUGCAAAUGAUAAUUUCAGUCCCGCUUGUUGGUUCGAUGUCCUCAGCAUCAGAAGUUGGCCCGCCUAAUGAAAGAGAUACAAUUGACUGCAAUGUUAUCGUUAUUUUGUCCCUGGCUCCCAAGAUCAUGCGGUUCGGACAGUAGCCUGCAAGCAGACAAGCCUGGAAUGUGCAGACAAGCCAUGCGAUGAGACCUACAGGCAGUACGUGGAGCGCCGGCGCGGAAGCCCUUACUCGAAUAAGGAAUGGAAAAGGAGAUUUGCAUUUGGUGCAUUUGAUUUAGAAAAUAUUAAAAAUGAUGACAAUCUAAAUAUUUUUCAUCUUUCAUACUGCUUGAUUGUCUUUUUUGGGAACCUGAAAAACAAAAUAUUCCGAGCGAUGCUUCAGGACUGCCGAAUAAGCUGCGUGCUGUCAAAUAUCUGCUGAACAAGGCCUUUUAUAUUUUGAAUAUUUAUCACAACCGACAGCUUUGAAUGAAUUAAAAAUUGAACUUAUGGAACUUGUGGAAAAAGCCUGAAGGUUUACUGUUUUCCCCAGUCUGAACUUGUAGAUAUAAAACUGGAGCUUAUCCACGACGUACAGAACUUGCUGGCGCCUCCAAAGAAUGUCAAGCAAGCUGCCCUCGCCAAACGCGCCGAGGACGAAAUUUGGACAAUCAGUAAUGGUCGUGAGCUUGCAGAGAUUUCUUCGACGUUACCGCACGUGCAGCCAAGACUGCUUAAGGUUACUAUGGAAGCCCCCGACCUGAGGGCGACUCAGUGGGCAGAACUUGUGACGCGUCGCGUGGGGGACGUCGAACUUCGGCUGCGGGGCCUUGAAUGCGAGUAUAUACGAUGCCCAUGACGACAUCCUCCAGCCACUGCUCGGGAGCAAAAUAAGACUGGUCCACUUGGAGGGUUGUGUGGGCACCCCCGCUGCAGUGGCCGCUCUCGCUUCAGUUGUCCACAACGCUCGUCUGACCAUCCGCAUGCCGGCGCCCCUGGACCUCAGCGCCUUCAGUAGCACGUACGAGCAACUCACGACUUUUGAGCUCCCUGCUAGAUGAUCCGCUGUGUGUGCGCUGCCAUCAUCGCCCUCACCAGCACUGAUUGUGGACGGGGCGGAUGAGGGGUCUUGGGAGGUCGUGGCCCACACCGUCGCCUCAUUUGCACCUAACGGGGGCCGGUUUGGGAAGCUGGAGGUGCUGGACAGCGAGCUGCGUGCGGAAGACGUGCAGCUUCUGCUGCUGAGACUCCAGGAGCUGCGCGUCAGGACGGGCGGCGAGGGCGACACGCGCGCCGAGACUCACCGGUCGAAGGUUCAUCUGUACAUCACUGAUGACUGCAAACUCAAGAGUGAAAGUGUUCAGCACAAAUAAAUGAUCGGCUACUGCAACAGCGGUCAGGAGCGGCGAAGUAAAUUGCCACAACACACGAUCGUCGCAACACGUGAUCAAAGCAUUAUGCGAUCGACGCAACAUGCGUUCCAUGAAACACUUCUCCCUUAUACAGAUUAUGAAAUUAUAACUUUCUCUUCUUAGACGCUACUCACAAUACUCACAAGCGACAAAUCCUUGAUAAUUAAGACGAACGUUUUCCAUACAAAGGAGCGGAUCAUCUAGCAAAUGCAGGAUCUUAGACCAAUUGUGCACCUCCGUCGUUUCAGCCCUUGUUGAACGUUCCAUAAUGUCGGAACUAUUGCUGCGUGUCCACAGACAUUUAAUUAAUCCGCUACUUAGGACGAUGAAUGUGGCCAUAAUUUACAUGUCAUCACAAUGCAAAAAAUACUUAUUUGUAUUGAAUUUGUAAAAGUUUACAGUUCGGCAAUU